rnacentral:sRNA from 1 species
AAUAAAAAUAAAAGAAAACAUAUAAAGUCAAAAUCAACAAAAUGAGGUUGGCUUCGUUUACAGGUAAGAGUGCCUAAUAGGCUUCCCCACUGUGUCCCUCAAAGUAGUUCCAAGAAUUAACUUAUACUAGGUGAUCAUCCGCGCUACGUCGCGGUUUAAACAACGUUCAUCUAGCAGAGGGUAGUGUUCGAUUCUACAAUCCUAAGAAUUUGAUGAUGGAGCUUCGUACGUAUUAUGCACUCUUAGUGAUUUAUUAUAUAAAUAUCAAUUUAAGAGAAUAACCUACUCAAAUCAUUAGCUAAUCCACGAUUAUUAUAUAAUCAUACUUUGAGUUUGGAUUACAAAAAAA